rnacentral:lncRNA from 1 species
GGGAAAGGAGAUUGCCUACUUCGUGAAGAUCUAACCUGAGUGAGACUAGUCCUGUGUGGACUUAAUACAUGGUGGAAUACACAAGGGCGCUUCUUCCUGGACCCCUUGUGGGUGGAGCCCUCCAUGGACUCUUGCAGUCGUUACCCUCUGUGGGAUGAAGUCUCUACUACCGUCGACAUACAAUAGUGCCACCUCUCGUAACC